rnacentral:siRNA from 1 species
ACAAAACACACAAUAAAUGGGCCU